CCUACGGGAGGCAGCAGUGGGGAAUCUUGCGCAAUGGGCGGAAGCCUGACGCAGCGACGCCGCGUGAGGGACGAAGGCCUUCGGGUUGUAAAGCGCUUUCAGCAGGGACGAGGCCCUCACGGUGACGGUACCUGCAGAAGAAGCCCCGGCUAACUACGUGCCAGCAGCCGCGGUAAUACGGAGGGGGCGAGCGUUAUCCGGAUUCAUUGGGCGUAAAGGGCGCGUAGGCGGUAUGUCAAGUCAAGGGUGAAAUCCCCGCGCUCAACGUGGGAACUGCCUUUGAAACUGGCAAACUGGAGUGUGUGAGAGGAUAGUGGAAUUCCAGGUGUAGUGGUGAAAUCCGGAGAUAUCUGGAGGAACAUCAGUGGCGAAGGCGACUAUCUGGCACAUAACCGACGCUGAGGAGCGAAAGCGUGGGUAGCAAACAGGAUUAGAUACCCCUGUAGUC
rnacentral:rRNA from 1 species